ACAUCUUGCCAAAUAUAAGAACAUAAUACUUCGAGAACGAGACCGUUUGGCUGGAGAAGUUGUUGAUCUUGAAAAACGAUUAGCUACCAACCGAUAUUAUUCCGAAAACUUAGAAUAUAUCAUCCGAAACAAUGAAGACGCUAUGAGUAAAAUGGCUUCCAGAGCUAAAUUUGCUGAGGGUGAACGGUUAAACGUAGAAUCCAAGCUGCGAGCUCUUAUGAAGACUAUGGAAGAACAAAAAGAGGCUCACGGAAAAACCAUGAUAAAACUCGAUAUAGCGAAUCGAGAUUUAGCAGAGACAACAAGAAAACUAAGUCAAAAAAUGUCUGACUACGACAGGCAAAGGGUGCAUUUGGAUAAAUACAGAAGUGAAGUUAAUGCUUUAAAUAAAGCAAUGCACAAAUAUGAAGAUGACAUUGCAGAUUUGACCAAAAAUCAGAAAAAUAACGAGGAAAUGAUUAAGCAGCUCAGGUUUAUUGAAAAAGAGAAAUCAAAUGCAGUCAGUCAAUUAAGCAGCAAACUGAAAAAGUCAAUAGAAGAUCAAAACAAUGCUACAACUCGGAUGUAUAAAUUGAAUCGAAAGGUUAUGAUGUUAAACAGUGAAAUUUUAAGGCUUAAAAACAAUAUUAAUUCAUUAGAGAAGGAUGUUUUAAAUGCCAAUGGUCGAACAGAUGAAGUUUUUCGAGUCAAAGAGACACUACAACGUGAGCGAGACAGUCUCCGAAGUAAUAUCAUUAAAUUAAAUAACUCAAUGGCAGACUUAAAGCAUGAUAUGAUGCUAAAAGCAAACAUGAUCAGUUCAUUAAAUUUGGAUAUUAACAAGUUAAAUGUUAAACUAGAUGAAGCUUAUAUUCUAAAAUCAAAGGCAGAAAA